GACGAACGCUGGCGGCGUGCUUAACACAUGCAAGUCGAACGGAAAGGCCCUGCUUUUGUGGGGUGCUCGAGUGGCGAACGGGUGAGUAACACGUGAGUAACCUGCCCUUGACUUUGGGAUAACUUCAGGAAACUGGGGCUAAUACCGGAUAGGAGCUCCUGCUGCAUGGUGGGGGUUGGAAAGUUUCGGCGGUUGGGGAUGGACUCGCGGCUUAUCAGCUUGUUGGUGGGGUAGUGGCUUACCAAGGCUUUGACGGGUAGCCGGCCUGAGAGGGUGACCGGCCACAUUGGGACUGAGAUACGGCCCAGACUCCUACGGGAGGCAGCAGUGGGGAAUAUUGCACAAUGGGCGGAAGCCUGAUGCAGCAACGCCGCGUGCGGGAUGACGGCCUUCGGGUUGUAAACCGCUUUCGCCUGUGACGAAGCGUGAGUGACGGUAAUGGGUAAAGAAGCACCGGCUAACUACGUGCCAGCAGCCGCGGUGAUACGUAGGGCGCGAGCGUUGUCCGGAUUUAUUGGGCGUAAAGGGCUCGUAGGUGGUUGAUCGCGUCGGAAGUGUAAUCUUGGGGCUUAACCCUGAGCGUGCUUUCGAUACGGGUUGACUUGAGGAAGGUAGGGGAGAAUGGAAUUCCUGGUGGAGCGGUGGAAUGCGCAGAUAUCAGGAGGAACACCAGUGGCGAAGGCGGUUCUCUGGGCCUUUCCUGACGCUGAGGAGCGAAAGCGUGGGGAGCGAACAGGCUUAGAUACCCUGGUAGUCCACGCUGUAAACGGUGGGUACUAGGUGUGGGGUCCAUUCCACGGGUUCCGUGCCGUAGCUAACGCUUUAAGUACCCCGCCUGGGGAGUACGGCCGCAAGGCUAAAACUCAAAGGAAUUGACGGGGCCCCGCACAAGCGGCGGAGCAUGCGGAUUAAUUCGAUGCAACGCGUAGAACCUUACCUGGGUUUGACAUGGAUCGGGAGUGCUCAGAGAUGGGUGUGCCUCUUUUGGGGUCGGUUCACAGGUGGUGCAUGCCUGUCGUCAGCUCGUGUCGUGAGAUGUUGGGUUAAGUCCCGCAACGAGCGCAACCCUUGUUCACUGUUGCCAGCACGUUAUGGUGGGGACUCAGUGGAGACCGCCGGGGUCAACUCGGAGGAAGGUGGGGAUGACGUCAAGUCCUCAUGCCCCUUAUGUCCAGGGCUUCACGCAUGCUACAAUGGCUGGUACAGAGAGUGGCGAGCCUGUGAGGGUGAGCGAAUCUCGGAAAGCCGGUCUCAGUUCGGAUUGGGGUCUGCAACUCGACCUCAUGAAGUCGGAGUCGCUAGUAAUCGCAGAUCAGCAACGCUGCGGUGAAUACGUUCCCGGGGCU
rnacentral:rRNA from 1 species